ACUCCAGUGACUGCCUCUCAGAAAAGAACAGGGCAAUGUCCAUUCUCCUUUUAUUUUCUUUAAGCACCUGAUCAUUCUAAAAGCAUGUGUUCCUCCGUGUGUGUGAGUUGUGUACACGUGUGUGUGUGUUCCUUUCUUUUCUCGGACUCCAGGCUCAUGACUGCUUAUUUGCAUGGUGUUUUGGUGUCAAAGGAGUGUUGAAUGUGUUCUCCACACACCCAGCUUUAUUCCACUCUAGGAGUUUAACUUCUUCAGCAUUGUUAUGAGGUCCCCGGUGACCUCAGUUUCUCCUCUCCGCGUCAUCCAGGACUUCACCUGAAGCUUGAGCUACACGUAAGACUUCAUCUACCUUGCACAGGGCAAUGGAGAGAGAUUCCUGCAAGUAGACUGACAGCUGCAUGUUUGCAGGAAAGUUAAAUAUUUUGACAGCGCAGAAGACUGCUGCAUCUGGAGGGUUCUGGGUCCAGCUAUAACCAGACUUGCCUGUCCUAAACAAAUGGAUUGACUGCUUCCGGCAUCCUCACUUUACUUCUGCAUGGUGACCAACAUCCGGAGCUUAAUUACCUGACAGCCAGGAGAUAACAAAAAUGUCAUGCCUGAGUCCCUGAUAGCAACCCCAGAGGAGCUCCAGGUUUGAGGCAGCGCUGGCAGGACGUGGUCUAUCUGCCAUCUGAAGCCCUUCAUUGCCCGCCUGGCUGUGAAUCUCACCUCCUCUGUAGUGGAAAACAGGCUGAACAGAACUGGCAGGCAGGUAAGGGACAGCAAACCUUGCAGGGAGGGCCUAGUGCUGAAGCUAAGCCAGCCCUUUGAGUUCAAGCUCAAAGACAUGUGAUGCCAGCUUUGCAGGGGAGCUAAGAUUCUUCCGAGAAAAAGCAGAAUGAGAGAGAGAUAUGCAGCUGCAGUGGAGGACUUGGAAGAGAACAACGCCAGGUCCUGGAUCCUGCAAGAAUCUCCUCUGGAAAAGCAGGGGAGAGAAAAGCAAGGAAGGAAGCAGGGUCACCGCAAGUGUGGGAUUUGUCUUAUUAAAAUCUGAUACUGUGUGGCAGUUUGCUUCACUCUUGGUAUAAAAUGUCUGAGCUCCAUGUUAAAGUAAAUGUAAGUAAUAUAAAUCUGCCUUUCCUGAGGUGAAAAUAGAUCCAUAUUAUUUAAAAUAUGAACUGAGAUAGAUGACAGUUACAAACAUUAUACUUGUUCUUAUUAUAAUUCUUACUAAGCUCAAGGAAUAAAAACUGGGAUGAUGAAAAAGAA
rnacentral:lncRNA from 1 species